AAGUCGAGGGGCAGCAUGGUCUUAGCUUGCUAAGGCCGAUGGCGACCGGCGCACGGGUGAGUAACACGUAUCCAACCUGCCGUCUACUCUUGGACAGCCUUCUGAAAGGAAGAUUAAUACAAGAUGGCAUCAUGAGUUCACAUGUUCACAUGAUUAAAGUAUUCCGGUAGACGAUGGGGAUGCGUUCCAUUAGAUAGUAGGCGGGGUAACGGCCCACCUAGUCUUCGAUGGAUAGGGGUUCUGAGAGGAAGGUCCCCCACAUUGGAACUGAGACACGGUCCAAACUCCUACGGGAGGCAGCAGUGAGGAAUAUUGGUCAAUGGGCGCAGGCCUGAACCAGCCAAGUAGCGUGAAGGAUGACUGCCCUAUGGGUUGUAAACUUCUUUUAUAAAGGAAUAAAGUCGGGUAUGUAUACCCGUUUGCAUGUACUUUAUGAAUAAGGAUCGGCUAACUCCGUGCCAGCAGCCGCGGUAAUACGGAGGAUCCGAGCGUUAUCCGGAUUUAUUGGGUUUAAAGGGAGCGUAGAUGGAUGUUUAAGUCAGUUGUGAAAGUUUGCGGCUCAACCGUAAAAUUGCAGUUGAUACUGGAUAUCUUGAGUGCAGUUGAGGCAGGCGGAAUUCGUGGUGUAGCGGUGAAAUGCUUAGAUAUCACGAAGAACUCCGAUUGCGAAGGCAGCCUGCUAAGCUGCA
rnacentral:rRNA from 1 species